AAUAACUCUAGAAGCAUUGCAAGAGUAGUUAUUGUGUCACAUUGGCAACAAUAGGUGGCAGAGAGGAAGGUAGCUAGACUAAGCCCAGUGUUCUGACCUGUGAAUACCUAAAUGAGUAGUAGCCUAACCGU